GAGAGUAUAGCUCAGUGGUAGAGCACAUGCUUAGCAUGCACAAGGUCCUGGGUUCAAUCCCCAGUACCUCCA
rnacentral:tRNA from 1 species